ACACACACACGCACACACACACGCAAUCAAAUACGGUGGCUUCAGAGGAAGGAGGGUGAGAUUGGUUCUCUGCUCUACAUAAUUACUUUACUCAAGAAACAGGCUGCCAAGGGCAGCUGUCAGUGAUGUGGAAUUACUAUUUUACACAUCCUCUCUAGGUUCACCUUAAGAAGGGGUUCCUGUAUCUUUAACUGCAGUGCCCAGAGAUGGUCCAUGGCAACCUACUCACCANNNNNNNNNNNNNNNNNNNNNNNNNNNNNNNNNNNNNNNNNNNNNNNNNNNNNNNNNNNNNNNNNNNNNNNNNNNNNNNNNNNNNNNNNNNNNNNNNNNUAAGAAGGGGUUCCUGUAUCUUUAACUGCAGUGCCCAGAGAUAGUCCAUGGCAACCUACUCACCACUCAUUGGCCAGGACUACUCACUUGACCUCCACCUUAUUUCAGGGGAGGCUGAGAGACCUGGAGACACGUGGAAUAUUUUCUAAGCACUGUCUUUCUUACAUUCCUUGGGUAACUUAUAAUUUUACUAAAGUAAACCCAUAAAUUGGAUUACCCAUGAUGAAAUUUGUGGGAGCCUUGUUUCCCAGUCUCGAUUGAUAAAUAACAUUACUUGGGUGUGUCCUCCAAAAUGAGAAUUUUUGUCCAUACCCCCAAACCUACCAGAUCAGGUGAUUUCUUGGUGGAGCUUUUCGAACAGGGAUUAACAAGUUUCCAUGUGAUUCUUAUUAGACAACAACUUUGGAAAACCAGUGUAAGCUUGCUCGAAAAACAGUUCCAGAGUAAAAUGAGAAGAAAAUACACCUUGCUGAAGUCACACAAUCACACAUGUCACAAUCACGAUAGAACUCUCACAAAUAUUUCUAGCGGUAUUAAUUGCUAACAUUUGUUCAGAACUUACCAUGUCCCAGGCACUGUGCUCAGGUUCUUAAUGCCUAACGGCUCACAAAUCGGGCUCUGUGAUGCCACCGCUUGACCAGUGAGGAGAAUGAAGUUUUAAGAAGGCUAAGUACAAUUUGUUCAGAGACAGGAAGGAGAAAUAAAGUGGCAUCAGUGGUAAAGAAGAUGCUUGCCAAUGCAGGGGACUUAAGAGAUGGGAGUUCGACCCCUGGGUCAGGAAGAUCGCCUGGGUUGAGAAGGAAAUGGCAACCCGUUCCGUUUUCCUUCCCAGUGCAUGGCAGUUAAGAGACGAGGAUUCGAUCCCUGGGUCAGGAAGAUCGCCUGGGUUGAGAAGGGAAUGGCAACUCAUUCCAUUUUCCUUACCUGGAUACUUCCAUGGACAGAGGAGCCUGAAGGGCUACAGUCCACAGGGCACAACUGAAGCAACCUAAUGUGCACAGGCAAGUAAAUCUUGUUCAAAGAGCCAGGAAGGAGAAAUCAAUAUUAUAUANNNNNNNNNNNNGGAUCCAGAAACAAUUUUAGUGUCUCUCUCACACACACACACACACUCAUACUCACACAGGCUUUCAUCCUCAAGUUAGAGACAGUGCUAGAUGAUUUUUCUGAAUGAUACCCCUACUGUCCCCCAGCCCUAGUGACUGAGGCUUUUUAAUAGUAUUUAUUUCUUCUAAUAAAUAUUCUAAAUAUUCUAAAAGUUAAUAUUCUCCAGUUUAACACUGAGUGAACACUAACUCUUGAUUUACUACGUGAAUACAAGAAGUUUAUCUUCUUUUUUUUUUUCUCUUUCCACUGUCUUCCAGACAUAGAUUCUUCUCAGAGCAUAAAUGAGGGAAAUUGCCAAUGUAGUGAAUUUUCUCCCACUUCCUUUUCUGAUCCAGGAUCUGGCGGUGGGGGAGCUACUGGGAGACCCGUGAUUUGCAACAACAGCUCUCUUAAAAUAAUACAUUCCAUAGGAAGAAACAGAUUGCCUCAUUUUAAAAUACAUUUGAAACACUGAGGAUUUGAGGAGGCUGUAGUAUUUUUGAAGAACAUUUUCAUUUCAAAAGGAGGGCUUUGUAUGUCUGAAUUUCAAUCUCUGUUAUCUUGAACUCGGUUUCACAGGAGAAGCACUAAGAGCUAUUUCAUUGUGAAUGGAAAUGCAGGAUGAAGAAAGGAGAAUAAAACUCAGCUUCCUUCUGAUUGUCCUAUAAAAGUACAUGUGUAAUAUUUAAUAAAAAAAUAAUUAUCUGGCAGGUGUGUAGUGCUUAGAGAAAAACCACAUGUAUAAAGUUACACUCACAUAAAUAAUACAUUAAGGUAAUGAACCUGUUAAUAGCACCUGAUAACCAGAUGUGUAGAAAAUGAGCCAAACCUUACCAUGAAUGGCUUAACAAAAGGUAAAUCAACACAUCAGUAUUCCUUAUCUUCACAAUGUAGUGCUUUUAAAUAAGCCAAGAACUGAGAGCUGGCCACGUGUGUGUGUGUGUGUGUGUGUGUGUGUGUGUGUGUAUAAAUAUAUGGAGAUAAACCUAUUCAUAAAGCAUAACUGAAAGCUAGGGGAUUUCCAGAAAGAAAAUUUAAUCCUAGGAUUGAGAUGAAGUGAUAGAAUUUAAGUCGCUAAGUAUCAUGUGAUUGGAGGGAGGCUGGAACUCUGAGGGAAGGUGAUUUGGGCAGAAUGCUUUCUAUCACAUUAUUUUAUUCAUCUUUUGUUGUUUAUAGUUAAACAACUUAAACAUUCUGCUUGAAAUUUUCCUUAUUCUGUAUAAAAUAAAACGCAUUGAGUGGAAAUUUUACAAGGAGUGUAAGAUAUUAUUUACCUGUAUUCAGCUCUGCUUUUUUAUUUCACUCUAAGUCCAUCUAGUCAAAGCUAUGUUUUUCCAGUAGUCAUGUAUGGAUGUGAG
ensembl:lncRNA